UACGGAGGGUGCAAGCGUUAAUCGGAAUUACUGGGCGUAAAGCGCACGCAGGCGGCUUGUUAAGUCGGAUGUGAAAGCCCCGGGCUCAACCUGGGAAUUGCAUUCGAUACUGGCAAGUUAGAGUAUGUGAGAGGGGGGUAGAAUUCCAAGUGUAGCGGUGAAAUGCGUAGAGAUUUGGAGGAAUACCAGUGGUGAAGGCGGCCCCCUGGCCCUCUACUGACGCUCAGGUGCGAAAGCGUGGGGAGCAAACAGG
rnacentral:rRNA from 1 species